CAAUAGCGUAUAUUUAAGUUGUUGCAGUUAAAAAGCUCGUAGUUGGAUUUCGGAUGGGACUUGCCGGUCCGUCGUUUCGAUGUGCACUGGCCAGUCCUGUCUUGUUGUCGGGGACUAGCUCCUGGGCUUCACUGUCCGGGACUAGGAGCUGACGAGGUUACUUUGAGUAAAUUAGAGUGUUCAAAGCAAGCCUACGCUCUGAAUACAUUAGCAUGGAAUAACACGAUAGGACUCUGGCUUAUCUUGUUGGUCUGUGAGACCAGAGUAAUGAUUAAGAGGGACAGUCGGGGGCAUUCGUAUUUCAUUGUCAGAGGUGAAAUUCUUGGAUUUAUGAAAGACGAACUUCUGCGAAAGCAUUUGUCAAGGAUGUUUUCAUUAA
rnacentral:rRNA from 1 species